AUCAGUCCGGAGUCACUGGGUUACCGCUGAUCCGCCGUGUUGCUUCAACCAAUGGAACAUCCCCUUCCCAUUGACAUCAAUUUGACUGAAAA
rnacentral:sRNA from 1 species